GGGCAAAGCUUACGUGCGGUUCACUCGCUCUUUCUCUCUCUCUCUCUGAACGGCAACCUUAACCUCCCUAGUCCGAACGACCCUUGUAAUUUAUUUAAAAUUAGAAAAAAUAAUAAUAAUAAUAAUACAUCAGUCCUGCUCUGUUAACGCGACGCCGCUUCCAUCGACUUCGACCGACACGUAAAUUGCGGCAAACCUGUGCUAAACAUCCAAGACGGUUCUGUUCCCGGAAGUUAUCCGCAAAGUAUCCGCUCCACUGCAUGAUAUACAGAUGUUCCAUAUCUAAUUCCAAGCUAGUAAAUACUUUCACAACAACCCCAACAAAGAAUUGAACCCAACUACCUUCCCCUCGCCCUGACCCCUCUCACACAACACCAUGGAUUUGGACAAACAAAUACUCAAUGAUGACCCAAAUGUCACCCUUACCAUUAGAUUGAUAAUGCAAGGAAAGGAAGUGGGAAGUAUCAUAGGGAAAAAAGGAGAAAUAGUAAAGAGGUUUAGAGAAGAGUCGGGUGCCAAAAUAAACAUAUCCGAUGGUUCGUGUCCAGAGAGAAUCGUUACAGUGACGGGCUCAACAAGUUCAAUUUUUAAAGCCUUCACAUUAAUAUGUAAAAAGUUUGAAGAGUGGUGUUCCCAGUUCCAGGAUAUAAACAGCGGAGGCAGCGGGGUACCCCGACCACCCAUCACACUCAGACUGAUCGUGCCGGCAUCACAGUGCGGGUCGCUGAUCGGCAAAGGCGGCUCCAAGAUCAAGGAGAUCAGAGAGGUGACCGGUGCCUCGAUUCAAGUGGCAUCCGAAAUGCUUCCCAACUCGACAGAACGCGCCGUCACCAUUUCAGGAACCGGGGAAGCCAUUACUCAGUGUAUCUAUCACAUUUGCAAUGUCAUGCUCGAGUCCCCCCCUAAAGGAGCAACCAUCCCCUAUCGCCCCAAACCCCAAGUGGGUGGCCCCGUGAUCCUGGCCGGCGGACAGGCCUAUACCAUCCAAGGCAACUACGCCGUCCCCGCCCACACAGACAUGACACUUGGUAAAAGUCCACUCGCAGGACUUGCUGCCUUGGGACUGGGGGGUUUAGCACCGGCUAACACAGGGGGACUAAAUCCUGCAGCGUUAGCAGCCUUGGCCGGUUCGCAGUUGCGCAGCUCGAACUCCCGCAAUUCCCAAAAUUCGAAUCAGCAAACACACGAGAUGACCGUGCCCAAUGAGCUCAUCGGCUGCAUCAUCGGCAAAGGUGGCACCAAAAUAGCGGAAAUCCGACAAAUCUCCGGUGCGAUGAUUCGUAUCUCGAACUGCGACGAUCGGGAGAGUGGCGUCACCGAUCGCACCAUCACCAUCUCCGGCAAUCCGGAUGCGGUCGCGCUUGCCCAGUACCUGAUCAAUAUGAGGUUUGACGAAAAAGAGUAUGAAAGUUGGUAACAAGGUUGCGUGUUCAUCUCCUAAGCCUGCUAACAGACCGAUGCCUUUUCAAAUAAUUCCAGGCCAAGAAGAUCACAUAUCCCGGAUAUCCAUGGAGACGGCCGGCUUGCCCAUGCCGGGUUACCACUACAUCUCGCCCAACCACAUCGUGAAGGCGCCUAUCCACUAACAACCGGACCACAUGAGGGAACCGCAACCGCCGCCUCCAACGCCUCUGUACACCGGCCCCCCGGCUCUCUACUGGCACUUCGACGGGUGCCCCCAGAAUUUAUGGUCUGAUCUGUAAAAUUAAACGUAUAUAAGAAAAAUUCAAUUGCAGAGCAACAAAAAAUGAUAUUUAAAAAAUACGACAAUAUUGUCAAUACUGAUGGAUAAUUUUUACAUAAAAGAUUGGUCAAAGGGGAACAAGCCAAAGAUAUGUUAUUUUUAAUUUUUUAUAUAUAACGUAUUUAUAUAUAUAAUAUUUAGAUACAAUCAGAAAAUUUACUGUUUAUUAUCUGUUAGAUAAUUUUCUAGUUGUAUUUUGCAGAGAGACUUGUUUUUUGCAAGUUGAUUGGAUUGUUGAAAAUCGGUGGUAGUUGUAAACAAUUAAUAAUAAUACAUAUUAAAAAUUAGCCGCGAGAAAUUUCGUAUUCUCGUUUCUGUAAAUACGUUUCGCACGCGUUCCGAAUUAUUGUCCUGUAGAUGUUAGUACCGGAAACACUGAAUGGCUCAAUUUACUCGUACUCAUGUUCACCUACCAGGCAGUAAUGAACUUAACUUAUUCAAAAAAUGUUUUAAAAGACUGUCAAUCAUUAUUUGACUUGCAUAAAAAUGAUCGUGAUAAAUUAUCAGAUCCGUAGCUUGUUAUUGAUUUGUAAAUGCAGACUGGGUUAUUGAAACGUUGAUUCUAAAAAUUUAAUAUUAAUCAUUUGUGUAUUAUUGUUGUUUGAUUUAAACUAAACUGUUAACUCUCACUGUAAUUCACAAAAUUAAUGAAUUGUGAGACAAUUCUAAAACUGAUGUAUUAUAAAAAUUGUAAUUAGUUAUUAAUUUAUUAUUUAUUUAUUUAUUUAUUUAUUUAUUAUAAGUACGUAUUUUUCAGAAGAAUUAAUCUGAUUAAAGCAUCUAAAACAUGUUUGCACCAAACUUCAAUGGAUUAUUUGCCUGGAAAUCCACAAACCUAUGGAUCAAUGCUAUUUUAUAUAUGUAUAUAAAUAAGGAGUACUAAUUAUAAAAGAGCAAUAAUAAAUUUGAGUAUUAAUACAAUCGUGAUACGUUAUACUAGCUUUAGUUAACAAAUUUUGGGUUAUGCAAUAAGAGCGUAAGCACGUAUGUGCCAUAUAUUAGAACGGUAGAAUGUUAAAAGGUUACUUAGGGCAAUAAAGAAAACCUUAAAAAAAUAUUUAAUGGGAGUACUAAAAGUAAAUAACAUAAAUAGUUGUGUUAUAUAUAAUAUUUUUAUAUUAAUAUACAGCUAAAUGAAAUGUUGAAACAAUAUUUCGAUAAAGCAUGUAGAGAAAUAAUUGUAAUGUACAAAAGCUCUUCUAGAUACUCAUUAAAUGCCAUAAGUAUUAUUAAUCGUAGGCGAAUAAAGACGGACUUGAAUUUUCUAUGCACAUAAAACGGUACAAGAAUUCUGUGUAGAUCAUUUAAGUCUGACGUACUGGAUAUAUGGUAUUAUUUUAAAUGUAUUAUUCGCACCAGGACAAUAAUUGUGGACACUUCGUUUUUAUUUAGAAUGUUGGUUUUUUACAUUUAACUUUUUUAUUUACAGCUUACAUUGUUAUAGCGUUAUUUUUAUUAAGUUUAAUUGUUAGAGUGAUCUGGGCACUUUGUGACCAUUCGAAUUAAUCUUUACAGACGUGCAUUUUUAUAUUGGGCUGUGGUUAUUGAAACUUAGUGUUUGUUAUUGUCAUUUCUUCCAAAAUAACUUUUUCGUGCCAAAAAUAAAAUGAUCUUCCUUUCUCACCCGCAGUACUAAAAAGAAAUGCUCAUUUCACUCCAGUUUAGCAAGACAUACUCAUAAAAUACUCUAUCGAAUUUCGAAUCUUUGUGGUUAGUGGUAGCUUUACUGUGAUCAUUGGUGACUUUUGAUGACUAACAUCCACAAAAAUAUGUUUAAAUUAAAGAAAGUGACCAUAAUAAAAUUUAUUUGUGGAUGUUUGCACCACCAACUAACUGAUCAUUUAUUAAUUCCUUGUACUUAAUGAUGCGAAUCAGAUGUUGAAACUUUUACACUCAACACAAAUCAUUUAGUUGGUUUACUUAAAUAAGCAUGCUUUUUAAUUAUGAAAAAGAGUAUUAAUGCGUGUUAUUUAUUCUGGAUCAAGGGAAUUAAUACAUUCCAAAAUAUAUAUAUCGGUAACAUUGGAAAUUGUAACAGAGUGUUUGAAAAGACGAAGAGAUUGAGUGUAAACGUUUCUCUAAGUAGGAUUCUGACUUGCCACCUUCUUCUCUAGUUUGUGUUCUUUUUGUUAACUUUAAGGUAUUGCUUGUUAAAUAGUUGUAGUGAUACAUACUCUAGUCUCGGAUUUAUUAAAAACUAUAUGUUUAUCGAUGUAAUUUAUUAUAAUUCGAUAUGAACAUUUGACUAUAAAUGGGGACAAUCUAUUGUUAUCCCUUUACGUUACUGACUGUUUGUAAUAUUAGAAUAUACAGUACUCAUUAAUUUAUGUGCCAAAUUUUAGAAUUCUCUGAUUCAUAAUAUUUCUAUAUUUAUAAAUGUCAUCUUAUGAAAUCAGACAGGAGGAUAUCUCGAAUAUACAUAGGUUUUAGAAGUAUUUGACAGAGCAUUUGUAAAAAACUUUAGUACAACAGCAAAAAUUGGGAUGGUCUCGUUUUAUCUCAUUCUAGUCUUUCCACUUUGUAAUGUGUGAUAUUUAUACAAAUUUGUUCAAGAUUGUCUAUGAGAACAUCCUGAAAGCUUUAACAUAAAUUUUUGUCUGAAUUUAUUUAGAUAAUUAAUUAUUUGAUCAUCCCAAUUUGCGAUAGUCGAUGCUUCUAAAAGUAGCGUGUACGUUAAAAAAUUGUACUGAUGGGGUUCACAAUAACCCUGUCUAGAUUGUAGUAUGUUUAGAAGGGGCCUUAAUGUCGGCUAUUUCAUAGUUGUCGUGUUGUGCAGGCAAUUUAAACGGUUUUAGCUUUGUCUGUAGCAAAGUGCUAUACAAGUACAUUUUGGUGCCAAACGUGGUAGAUUUACGUACUUAACUGCAACCGAAAAUGUUUGAAUUUUCUCUCAAGUCAAGGUUAUUAAAAAGCAUAUCUUUUCGGUUGUUUUAGAUUUAUAGUACAGAAAAUAAACUUUGGAAAAAAGGAGAACGUCGGUUCUCUGAAGUUUAUUACCAGGAAUGUUUUGUUUGAUAUUUUAAAAGUUUAUGUCACAAGUGAAACUUGAUGUCAUUGACAUAAGCUUUUAUAAAAUGAAUUUAUCCAUGUCAUAUUAACAUGUAACAUAAUUUAUAUAAUUUGUGACUGGGAUAUAUAAAAAAAGAUAUUUUUCAACGUCACAUAUAUCUAAGCUGAGGUCUUAGUCGCCUCUAGCACCCUGAAUUUAAAGAAACACAAUCAGCAAAAUGUAAAAAGAUCAUUUUAUAUAGCCUUUAUUAAAACAGGGUCUUUAUUAAUAAGAGAAAAUAUUGUAGAUAGUUAUAAUGUUUCGUCUUUUGGACAUAAAAAAUUGAACAGUAUUGUUUUUGUGAGAUUAUAUAAUUAUAGUAUUAUAAGAUGCCAAAUUAUUGAAUUCCAUAUAUACUUUUUUAAUAAAACCCGUUGCCAAAAAAUUACUUUUCAAUAAAAUGCUUAUAAUUUUUUAAAGCAAUGUAAAUUUUUUAUAAUUGUUGGCAACAAGUUUCAGGGUAAAUAAAUUAUCGUUAUUUUGAAAUAACGCUACUGUACAUUAUUUUGACUUUUCACAGUAUAUCACUUUCUGAUAAAUACACUGAUUGAUAUCUUUGAAGUGUAUUUGUCUUAAAGUGACUCCUAUGGUAAAAGCUAAUAGAUUCAUAAAUAUUCUAUAUGUACGCUAAUUAUUAGUGCUUUUGCUUUGAGAUCACAACACGACUGUAUUGUAUUAGCAGUAGAGGCAUGCUGUUACUCAAUUUGAAUUUUCUCUGACCCUAUCAUAUCUUUAUAACAUAUCCUGAACUGGGUAAUAAUAUUCUAACUUUAGAGGUACAAAAAACCUUGUAAAAAGAAAAGCGACUGCUCAAUGGUUUUCUUCAUAUCAUUACAUUGUUGCGAGUAACAGCAAAGAUAUUUUGAUAUACAAUCUUGAUUGUAAUAUUUUUAAUUAAUGUAGUUUAUAUUAGGCAAUAAAUUAAUUCGAACUUGUAAAGCAUUAAAAAAAGACAUUUUUAGAUAUUGCACAUAUCUAUUGUUCUUUCCAAGCAAAAUGUUUAGUAUAUACAUAUUUAAAUAAGAUGUUUUAUGUUUGUUUUUGGUUAAUAAAGUGUGACUAUUAA